CAGCUGUCCCCAACAAGGGAAUAAGAGGCCCCUGGGGGAACACAGCUCAGCCUGGAACUCAAGAAGCAGCCUCAGGACAGCAUGACCUGGACAGUGCUUUUCCUCAGCCUCCUGGCUCAUUGCACAGGCUCUGUAGCCUCUUAUGUGCUGACUCAGCCAUCCUCAGUAUCGGUGACCCCAGGACAGACGACCAAAAUCACCUGUGGAGGCAACAGCAUUGGAAAUAAAUAUGUGCACUGGUACCAGCAGAAGACAGCACAGACCCCUCUGCUCAUCAUCUACAGAGAUAGCAACCAGCCCUCAGGGAUUCCUGACCGAUUCUCUGGCUCCAACUCUGGGAACACAGCCACCCUGACCAUCAGUGAGGCCCAGGCUGGAGAUGAGGCUGACUAUUACUGUCAGAUGACAGUGACCACUAGAGAGGGGAGCAUGUGACAUUCACAGAGAAAAACUGUUGGGAAUCGGACCAGCUCCAAAGACUAAUCUCCCCAUCCCCCAAAAAGAGCCAUCCAAUGGUGAGUCCUGCUGACUCACAUGAUCCUUACCCACCAAUUAGAACACAUCCCAUGCCAGCUGCU